UGACUACAUGAGAUUCCAGAAGGAACGUUGAAGACGUCGACGUUCAGAUGCCGGAUGUGUAAGAGCAGGGAUGAGUUGAGCGAACCGGUAAUAAUGAACCGUGAGGCUUAACCUUACAACGCCGAAG
rnacentral:rRNA from 1 species